AAGUCGUAACAAGGUUUCCGUAGGUGAACCUGCGGAAGGAUCAUUAUUACGUAUCCACGUAUCAAACCAAAUCGUGAACUGUUUCCCGUCUGAUGAGGAUUUCUGCGAGUGUUUGAACAUUUAUUAAAUGCAUGGUGAGGACUCCUAGUCGCAAGACUGGUUUCUUCGAAAUGGCACUCGGUCCUGGUUGCCCUCUCGGGGCUUCAGCCAGCUCAUUAGAUGUGGUUGAAUUUCAAUCACUAUGCUAAAACUAUUAACCCCUUGUAAAACACUUGAACUAAAUUACGGAGACAAGACCCUUAACCAGGAAACUAUCUCUGAUAAACCGAAACUUAAGAAACAACUCUUAACAACGGAUAUCUUGGUUCUC
rnacentral:misc_RNA from 1 species